rnacentral:lncRNA from 1 species
UGAUGAUAGGAGUUAAACUCUUUAUUCCAUUCAGAGGCAUCUGGCAAGUGGAGCUGCAUUGGGGGGCACAUUACAGAUGAAAAAUGAUCCAUACUUUGUGGAUAUUGAAAUCAUUUACAGUAUUUACUUUCUAGCUAUUCCCAAAUACUCCAAAUUCCCAAGUCUCAAUUGAAAAGAAAAACAUGAUUUACCAUAUUAAGUCUAGAAAUUUAAAGAGAGAUGACAGUAUUUAAAUCAGCAGAUGUAAAUGCAGCACCUAUUUGUAAAGUCAUUUUUAUGGAAAAUAAUGAAGUCAAAUCCUUCUCAAAUGUUAAGAAAGGAACGUCAGAACUUACUUAAGCCUCAACAAAAAUUAAAUGCUAUGACUUUUCAUACUUCAGUAAUUUUAAAUUCAUUGUAAGAAAAAAAAAACAUUAUCCUAAAGGCUAGAUGAAGGUCACUGUCAAAAAAGGAAAAAAGAAACUCAUUUCUCUUUGCUAAAACUACAACAUAAGUUUGUGGUUUUUAAACCAAUUAGUAAAGAAGAGAUGCAGGAAAAAAACACUUCAGACCAUUUUCAAAAUUAUCUAAUCUGUACAACAAUGAUCUUUGGGAAAAUUAUCUAGUCUAUGUAGUAAUGCCUCUAUUUCAACAUGAACCUAAGAGGUAGAUAACAAAAUGAUGAAACAAAUGUUUUUGCUCGUUGUGCCCCUCAAAUCAGUGCAGCAUGGUGAUUCUGAUCAUCUCAUGCACAAAAAACAUCACAAAAAAAGGUUCAGAGGUAAUAGCAUGGCUCUGUCGACCACACACACAGGCGCGCGCGCGCACACUCACACACACACAGCAGUCUUUAUGCACCAUGUGUUGCCACAUACUUAUUUUUUUCUUUUUCUUAAACUGAGGUAGACUGAAGUUUAUUGUAGAAACUUGAAUGUGUCACUAUUACCACAAUCAUCAUUCAAAUUACAUUUGGAAAUUCAAAAAUUUGGUAACUUUCCUGUUAUCCCUGCCUUUUGACAUUUAGGUUGGUUUUUGUUUUUUUUUUUUCUUCUCUAAUGGUUGGUUGCAGAACGUGCAUAAAUCCUGCUGCAUCUAUUAUAAGCCAGGCUAGAGAGGUGGUUGGUUUUGUUUGUUUGUUUGUUUUCACUUGUAAUAGUUUUUAAAACCUUCAAAGUGGCUUAGUGUGGCCCAUAACAGCGGCUGGAUAUGUAAACUUAGCCUUUCAUUAUCUUUCUAUGUGAUCAAACACUGUUUGACCUUCCCCCAUCGUGGUAACUGAAAGCAGUAUGAUGUGAUCUGCAGACAGCGGAGACCCUCCUGGCCCCAAAUAGGCUCUGGCAGAUCAAGUGUUCUAUCAAACUGAAGAUGAAGCUUGCUCUUUGAACAAAAUGGCAAAGUCCAAAUGGGCUGCAAAUGGUUAAAUGUAGCAUUAUUAGGUAGUGAUGGUCAAAGGCACAAAGGGUUCAUGCAUUCAAUCAAGUAGCACAAAAAAAAAAUUCAGCCUCUUGCAGCCUUCUAAUUUUUUCCCCCAACCCCAGCCUCUUGCCAUCACUUCCUUGUCCUGUUCCCAAAAAAGUACCGUCACAAACUUUUUCAUCCCAUCUUAAAAGAAAACUAAACGGCAUUGCUGCUAUCAGAAUGUUGGCAUCAUUCACUAGCUUUUGAACAUUCACUGAAUUUUUUUUUCUUAAACAAAUGAUGGUGUUGAAGCCCUCAGAAAACCUGAGGCCGUGUUUUUUUUACCCACCUUACUCCCGUCAGCCAGCAGCUAGAAGUGCUCUGCUAUAUUUUUCCCCGAUAAGUCCGUAAGUACUCCUGGCUGGUGGCUGAUCAAAUUUUAAUUUUUUUUAAAAAAAUAAAAUGCUCAAGAACUAUUAAGCUUUAUAAAGUAUACAAAAUACCAAAAAAAAAAAAGCAAAAAAGGAACAAUUUCUCAUUGAGGUACUAAAUGCCUGAGGUAGUUUAGUAAAAAUGCAUAUUUAUCUUUUUAUGCCCUGGCCAACACCAUUCAACACUUCCC